AGUGAACGCUGGCGGUAGGCCUAACACAUGCAAGUCGAACGGCAGCACAGUAAGAGCUUGUUCUUACGGGUGGCGAGUGGCGGACGGGUGAGGAAUACAUCGGAAUCUACUUUUUCGUGGGGGAUAACGUAGGGAAACUUACGCUAAUACCGCAUACGACCUACGGGUGAAAGCAGGGGAUCUUCGGACCUUGCGCGAUUGAAUGAGCCGAUGUCGGAUUAGCUAGUUGGCGGGGUAAAGGCCCACCAAGGCGACGAUCCGUAGCUGGUCUGAGAGGAUGAUCAGCCAUACUGGAACUGAGACACGGUCCAGACUCCUACGGGAGGCAGCAGUGGGGAAUAUUGGACAAUGGGCGCAAGCCUGAUCCAGCCAUACCGCGUGGGUGAAGAAGGCCUUCGGGUUGUAAAGCCCUUUUGUUGGGAAAGAAAAGCAGCAGGUUAAUACCCCGCUGUUCUGACGGUACCCAAAGAAUAAGCACCGGCUAACUUCGUG
rnacentral:rRNA from 1 species